rnacentral:rRNA from 1 species
AGUGAACGCUGGCGGUAGGCCUAACACAUGCAAGUCGAACGGCAGCACAGUAAGAGCUUGCUCUUACGGGUGGCGAGUGGCGGACGGGUGAGGAAUACAUCGGAAUCUACUUUUUCGUGGGGGAUAACGUAGGGAAACUUACGCUAAUACCGCAUACGACAUACGGGUGAAAGCAGGGGAUCUUCGGACCUUGCGCGAUUGAAUGAGCCGAUGUCGGAUUAGCUAGUUGGCGGGGUAAAGGCCCACCAAGGCGACGAUCCGUAGCUGGUCUGAGAGGAUGAUCAGCCACACUGGAACUGAGACACGGUCCAGACUCCUACGGGAGGCAGCAGUGGGGAAUAUUGGACAAUGGGCGCAAGCCUGAUCCAGCCAUACCGCGUGGGUGAAGAAGGCCUUCGGGUUGUAAAGCCCUUUUGUUGGGAAAGAAAGGCAGCAGGUUAAUACCCCGCUGUUCUGACGGUACCCAAAGAAUAAGCACCGGCUAACUUCGUG